GAUGAACGCUGGCGGCGUGCCUAAUACAUGCAAGUCGAGCGAACAGACGAGGAGCUUGCUCCUCUGACGUUAGCGGCGGACGGGUGAGUAACGCGUGGAUAACCUACCUAUAAGACUGGGAUAACUUCGGGAAACCGGAGCUAAUACCGGAUAAUAUAUUGAACCGCAUGGUUCAAUAGUGAAAGACGGUUUUGCUGUCACUUAUAGAUGGAUCCGCGCCGCAUUAGCUAGUUGGUAAGGUAACGGCUUACCAAGGCGACGAUGCGUAGCCGACCUGAGAGUGUGAUCGGCCACACUGGAACUGAGACACGGUCCAGACUCCUACGGGAGGCAGCAGUAGGGAAUCUUCCGCAAUGGGCGAAAGCCUGACGGAGCAACGCCGCGUGAGUGAUGAAGGUCUUCGGAUCGUAAAACUCUGUUAUUAGGGAAGAACAAAUGUGUAAGUAACUAUGCACGUCUUGACGGUACCUAAUCAGAAAGCCACGGCUAACUACGUG
rnacentral:rRNA from 1 species